AACAUUUUAUGAAUUAUUUAGUUGAGUCUUAGUGCUUCUCUGUAUGGAGUUUAGCCAUAAUAAAAUUCUGUUUUGCACAAUAUGCAAAAUGGGAAGUUCAUUGAACUAAUGAACCACUGGACGGUGGCCAUAUGAAUGCACACUUGUUUCGCCCGGCUGUCUACUGGUGAAUCGGUAUUAAACUGAUUCGGCUUUUUACAUGGGAUUGUGCGGUUGACUUAGAUAAGGAAGACAGCCUGUAGCUGUAGCUGUAGAAGUAAUCCAUUUCGUGGGUAGUGCUACCGGCAUCUACCUUUAUAUUGUCUGACUACCUAAGGGAAGUUUGGGCAAUCGCGUAAAAAUUAUUUUCAAAACAAAAUAAUUGAAACAAUCAUCAAAAGAUCAUCAAAAAAUAAUGAAAUAAAUUUUGCGAACGCAUUUAAAAUGAGACAAAGCUAAUUUAUAUUCCGACAACACAACGGCGGGACCUCAAGAGCACCGAAGAGAAACAAAAAAUUAAAUGCAGGGCACAGUCGAUACAGUCUCAUGUCCCAUGUCGACGAUUCCCCCAACCAUUCGAAAUCACACAGAGGCUCCGACUGUAGAUUUCGGACUCUGCUCCGACUUCGACUCCGACGCCAAACUCGUGAUGUUCACUGUUCACUGCCUGUUGCAACAUUAAAGACAUUAAACAAAUGGACAUCUGUUGCCAGCCGGCACAAGUUUUGUGCUUAGCUCGCACGGGGGCUCACGGGGCGUCUUCCACGAGGAGACUUCUACUGCCAACGCAAAAAAUUAGCAUUUGUGUAAACAAUUAAAAUAAACUAAACUAUGGCAAGUCGGUGCAUCACA
rnacentral:sRNA from 1 species